rnacentral:rRNA from 1 species
AUGAACGCUGGCGGCGUGCCUAAUACAUGCAAGUCGAGCGAACAGACGAGGAGCUUGCUCCUCUGACGUUAGCGGCGGACGGGUGAGUAACACGUGGAUAACCUACCUAUAAGACUGGGAUAACUUCGGGAAACCGGAGCUAAUACCGGAUAACAUGUUGAACCGCAUGGUUCAACAGUGAAAGACGGUUUUGCUGUCACUUAUAGAUGGAUCCGCGUCGCAUUAGCUAGUUGGUAAGGUAACGGCUUACCAAGGCAACGAUGCGUAGCCGACCUGAGAGGGUGAUCGGCCACACUGGAACUGAGACACGGUCCAGACUCCUACGGGAGGCAGCAGUAGGGAAUCUUCCGCAAUGGGAGAAAGCCUGACGGAGCAACGCCGCGUGAGUGAAGAAGGUCUUCGGAUCGUAAAACUCUGUUAUUAGGGAAGAACAAAUGUGUAAGUAACUAUGCACGUCUUGACGGUACCUAAUCAGAAAGCCACGGCUAACUACGUG